GCGGCUUUAAAAUUGUUCAGAUGUAUGCAGCCCCCGUCGUUCAUUCUUGCGAUUGCUAAUAGUGCACCAGUAGGUAU